AAAACACACGCACACCACUCAAAAUUUCCUCUGCUCUCUUUCUCCUUCAAGCUAAAAACCCUAAUUCACUAAUCUCUUCACAUAAGCAAAGCACAGAGACAUCUCUCACUCCUUCAUCUCUCCCUCUUGAUUUCCCUUACCUGCAAAUACCCCAUCCCCCACUUCUUUUAUAACUCACCCCAUAAACCCCUCCCUGUUAACCACCACCACCACCACCGUCUGGUGGUGGUGCGACGUCAGAACCGAGAAAAGAAGGGGGUGGCGGCGAGGAGAGAGAGACCCGAGAUGGCAGAUAGGAGACCGCCGCUCACGGCGGCGAGGCGGCGACGACGUGGCUUAUCGGUGGCGGCGGAGAGAGAGAGACGGAAAGAGGAGGAGGAGCCGUCGAGCUCCGGCGAGCGGCGACGGCGACAGGCGGCAGCGCCGCCAUGGCGGCGGUGGUAGUGCUCUGAUUCGACAAAAUUCACGAUUGAUAAGGGUGUGCAGUUUUAAUUCCAGUUUGGCUCGGAAACUACGGCUCGGGAUCCUCGGUUCGGCUCAAUGGUUAACCGGUUAAGUCAUGGGUCUCGGUUCAGUUCAGAUGUCGAUUCUGAUCUCGUAGGUUCCGGUUCAGAUUUUGGGUCACGGUCAAAGUCAGUCAACAGGUCAAAGCUCGGUCAACCUGAUUCAACUCGGUCAAACCGAGUCAACUCAGUCAACUACAGUCAAUAAUGGUCAAACCAGUCCGCACGCGACCCGGUAAAGUUAACGACGCGAAAUUUAGUUAGCUCGAUAUAGUUUUUAAGAUUCUCAGUUAAACUCGCAACCGAGCUCGACCCGAUUAAAUAACGCCUAUAUAUUAGCGACCUUGUUUUGAUUUUGGCGCAUUUGACAAGAUUAUUAUAUAUUGUUUGGAUUAUUGUUGAA